rnacentral:rRNA from 1 species
UACGUAGGUGGCAAGCGUUGUCCGGAUUUAUUGGGUUUAAAGGGUGCGUAGGCGGUCUUAUAAGUCAGUGCUGAAAUAUCCCGGCUUAACCGGGAGGGUGGCAUUGAUACUGUAGGACUUGAGUAAAGUUGAGGUUGGCGGAAUUGACGGUGUAGCGGUGAAAUGCUUAGAUAUCGUCAAGAACACCAGUGGCGAAGGCGGCUCACUGGUCCGGUACUGACGCUGGGGUGCGAAAGCGUGGGGAGCAAACAGG